rnacentral:rRNA from 1 species
CCUACGGAUUCCCCCGGAAGCAACUCGACGUCGUUGGGCGAGCGCCCGAACUGGGCAUAGAGCCCGUCAAUGAGGGUGAGGGCAAGGAUGGCGCACAGAAGCGCGCCAAACCUGCCCGUCCAAUUCCUCCACACGGUGAUUUGCUGCAGAGUCAUAACGCGGGGUGAGUUUCCCUGGGGAAGUACUUCCGCAUGAGCACGCAGGUCAGAAUGAGCGUGGGAACGAGCAUGGAAAAAAGGCACUUGAAAAACAGCGGGGUGAAGUUGUCGAGAUCCGAAUUGGCAACGUAGAUGCUCACCGUCAGCUGGAUGAGAACGACAACGUCCACUAUCGCUAUGGCAAUUUUCUUGGAGAAAUCCAUGUGAACAAUUCCUUAUCCGCCAGAUACCCCGGUAGUC